UACGUAGGGGGCAAGCGUUGUCCGGAUUUAUUGGGCGUAAAGAGCGUGUAGGCGGCCAGGUAGGUCUGCUGUGAAAACUCGAGGCUUAACCUCGAGCUGUCGGCGGAAACCAUCUGGCUAGAGUCCGGAAGAGGAGAAUGGAAUUCCCGGUGUAGCGGUGAAAUGCGCAGAUAUCGGGAAGAACACCCGUGGCGAAAGCGGCUCUCUGGAACGGUACUGACGCUGAGACGCGAAAGCGUGGGGAGCGAACAGG
rnacentral:rRNA from 1 species